rnacentral:rRNA from 1 species
GAUUGGAUCACUCGGCUCAUGUGUCGAUGAAGAACGCAGCGAAAUGCGAUAAGUAAUGUGAAUUGCAGAAUUCAGUGAAUCAUCGAAUCUUUGAACGCACCUUGCACUCCUUGGUAUUCCGAGGAGCAUGCCUGUUUGAGUGUC